CCGCAACGGCGAGUGGGCAGUGGCGGCACCUGAGAGUCCCGGACAGGGGUCGAGUGGAAGUCGUCUCUAGCGCCCAAGACAGCCAGCCAUGGCACCCAGGAGAAGGGUUUCCGUCAGGAGGGCCACCAGGGCCCCGGUGGAGGCAGAGGCUUCGGCAGCCUGUGACUUGGGGCACGGAGCAAACACUCCAGGAAUAGAUGACUGUGAUGGAAGCAACCCCUUUUCAGAUGCAGCUCAGCAGGAUAUGUGGAAUGAACUCCAGAACAUGUUGAAGAAAUAUGAAG